AACAAAACCUCCCUACGGGGGUUA
rnacentral:sRNA from 1 species